rnacentral:rRNA from 1 species
GACGAACCGUGCGAACGUUGUUCGGAAUCACUGGGCUUAAAGGGCGCGUAGGCGGCCGGGUUGGUCGUGGGUGAAAUCCCCCAGCUUAACUGGGGAAUUGCCUACGAUACUGCCUGGCUCGAGGGAGGAAGGGGCGGCCGGAACUGUCGGUGGAGCGGUGAAAUGCGUUGAGAUCGACAGGAACGCCGGUGGCGAAAAGCGGGCCGCUGGCCCUCUUCUGACGCUGAUGCGCGAAAGCCAGGGGGAGCGAAACGGGG